GGCAGAGAGUGGCCGAGUGGUCUAAGGCGCUGCGUUAAGGCCGCAGUCCGAAAGGGCGUGGGUUCGAACCCCACUUCUGUCA
rnacentral:tRNA from 1 species